GACGAACGCUGGCGGCGUGCUUAACACAUGCAAGUCGAACGGAAAGGCCCUGCUUUUGUGGGGUGCUCGAGUGGCGAACGGGGGAGUAACACGUGAGUAACCUGCCCUUGUCUUUCGGAUAACUUCAGGAAACUGGGGCUAAUAUCGGAUAGGAUCUCCUGCUGCAUGGGGGGGGUUGGAAAGUCUCGGCGGUUGGGGAUGGACUCGCGGCUUAUCAGCUUGUUGGUGGGGUAGUGGCUGACCAAGGCUUUGACGGGUAGCCGGCCUGAGAGGGUGACCGGCCACCUUGCGACUGCGGUACGGACCAGUCUCGAACGUGAGGCAGCGGGCGGAAGUCUUACACAGCGGGCGCGCGCCUGAUGCGACGACGCCGCGUGCGGAAAGACGGCUUGCUGGUUGUGAACCGCUUUCGCCUGUGACGAAGCGUGAGUGACGGUACUGGGUAAAGAAGCACCGGCUAACUACGUG
rnacentral:rRNA from 1 species